AAAUAUUAAUUUUUUAUAAUUAAAAUAUAUUUUUCUAUGUUUGAUCUUUAUUUCAGAAUUUUUUCAGAAAUUUUGUACACUUAGUUCUUAAACUGCAGCUCAUCAAAAAUUGCGUUGAGUCACGGUGUAAUAGUCUCGUUCAAAAAAAGAGGUGCAACAACAACCUAGGAUUAAUAUAAAGAAAAUUUUUCUUUAUUUUGACGAUUUAACGAUACUUUCAAAAUAAUCGUAAAACGUUCAAAGGUGUCCACAUUUUCUUUAAGUUAAAAGUACCCUUAAAUUACGUGCAAUGUUUUGCAGAACUUAAAAUUUUUUUCCAUACGUCCUAGAAAUUAAAAUAUUACCUUUUUUUCUGUGCGGCAAUCGUUAACCGAGGUGUAAACAAUUAAAAAAAUCACUUUAAAAAUAAAAAUUCCAGAUUUUCUUUUGUUUCUAAAACAUGGCACUACUUCAUAAUUAAUCAUGAGAUUUUAUUAUACCGCCGGUACUAGCAUUAAGGUAUACCACGAAGAGGUAGCAUGAUCCGAUUUAAGCUUGUUUUGUCAUAUUAGCGUCACUAUAUAACGCAGGCUAAACAAAUAAUAGCAUAAAUAAUUACUCAAAUUUGUCUGUUCGUUAUUUUUCUACCUAAAAAAAUAUAGAAAAAUGUGACUCCGCAACUUCCGAAACUUUCCGUCCUUCCUGCAGCAUUUAAAAACUCCCAAUGUAUUUUCUAAUUCAUGUGUUUCUUGUUUUUGUUUUUUCUCUUUUUUUUUACAAACCGUAAAUCCGAUUGUGCCAUUUCUUUAUGGUAUGCUUUGAGUAAUGCUAAUGCCGACAGUAUAAUAAAGAUCCCAUCAUAAAAUAAUGCCCAUGUAUCAAAAGUAAAAAAAAACCUAAAAUUUUUAUAUUUAAGGUGAUUUUUUCUUUAAUCAUUCACACCUCGAUCAACAAACGCCAUACAAAAAAAAAAGCAUAUUUCAGUUCUAAAACACAAAAAAAUUAUGAGUUUCGCAAAACACAUAAUUUAAGGGCUGUGGUGCAAGUUUUCAGCCGCCACGAACACGACUCUCGUCUUAUGGCACCUAGAAAAAAGAAAUAAAAAAGCUGGCUCUCUCAUGGUUUGUAACUGUGGAGAAAUCAAAUUGUCCAUGGUUUUCUCCAGCAGUGGUAAAAAAAAAGAUAAUACGAUAAGAUUCUGUGUCAAUUAUCGGAGACUCAAUGCUAUCUAUAAAAGAUUUUUAUUCGCUGCCAAGAAUUAAUAAUGUUCUGGAUUGUUUAACGUGGUUCUGUACUAUUUAAUUUAAAAAACGGAUUGGUAGAUAACCUUACAUCCUAAGGAUCGCGAAAAAACUGCUUCUAUUGGUAAUGAUUUGUAGCAAGUCAGUUAUGCCUUUUGGUCUUUGCAACGCCCCAGCUACAUUUAAACGUUUAAUGGAAAAAGUAUUAAAAGGAUUAAUUUCGAGAAUUUGUUUUGUAUAUUUAUAUGAUGUAAUUGUGCACCACUGUUUAAUUUUAGAAUUAUAUAUAUAAGAUUAGUUCUAUACCUAAGGUAGAAUAAACUCCACUAGUUUUUGGCUUUAGUUUUAGACUUAGUUUUUUGCUUAGUUUCAUGAAUUUUUCACUGUUUUAAAAUUUAAAUUACCAUAAAAUAAUUUUUAAACAUUAUUUUUAAAAAUGUGAAAAAAUUUUUUUGAGCUAAAAUGUUUGAUAAUACAUGAGUAAUAACCAUUAAAAAAGGCUGUAUUACAUCCCUUGUGUAGAAUACCGAAUUAUUUGAUAAUGUUUUUAACAGAAUUAAGGUUAAAGGUACUUUUAACUUAAAAAAAACCAUUAAAGUCCCACGACAAUUUUGAAAGUAGCGUCAAAUUUUGAAAUUAAAGAAAAAUAUACAAUUUCUACAGUCAGUUUUAAAGUGGUUUCAAACAACAAAACAUUUUUUUAUCAAAUAAAUAAAGAAUCUUAAACUAAAGAUUUUUGGUUUCAAAUCGGUCAUCGUAAUUUCUGUGCGACUAUUUUUGACCAAAUUAUAAGCAUUUAAGUUUAAAAUGCUUUUUUUACCAUAUAUAACUUGGUCAAAAAUGGUCGUAGAAAAAAUUUUAAAAAGGCAAAUUGAAGAGAAGAGUUCAAUUAACACAAAUCUUUUAUCAGAUUAAGUAAAAAAAAUUUAUUUGAGCCCGCUCAAAUUUGAUGCAAAUUUUUAAAAACUUUAUUUUUGUUUUAGGAAAAAGUGAUCAUGUUACAAAACGUAAAAUUUUUAAUCAAAAGAUUCACAAACUAGAGAAUUUAAGCUAUUAUGUGCUUUUUGAUUUGUAUUUCUACUACCAUUUUUCACGGAGAUAUAAAGAUUUAAAUAUGACUAAAAUUUUUCUCACAUUGGGUGUACCGCUUUUUUAAAGCUGAGUAUAUAUUUUCAAUUACAAAUACUUUACCAUAUUUGACAUACAUAUUUGACCGAUAAAUAUUUACACUUGCAAACCCCUCCGCCAGUAACCUUGACCUUGAUAUAUUUUGUCAAGAUCAUCCUCUUGAGUAACCUUCAAAAGGUUUUAAGCGUUGCCCGUAAUUCAUUAAACCUUUGCAGCAUGAUGUGAAGUAUACUUUACGCCUAAACAAAUAAAAUAAAAUAGGUGAGUCGAUAGCUCACGGACUAGAUGCUGGAUUCGUAAUCUGUCGACCCGGGUUCAAAUCUCGGCAAUUUCGUUGGGAUUUUUUCUCGGGUCCAUAGAUUGCAAAGAGAUAGAAGGGACGUGUGGCUAUCAGGAUCGCACCUUCCAGGAUUUUUCCGAAAGGUCGGUCAAGUCAAACCACCCUCCGAAAAAGAACUCGCCCCCCACGUCGGCCAUUUAUCCUGGUCGUAGCGUGGGGAAAGAGGUGGCUUCGGCGCUACCAAGUAGUGGGGUUGCCAACCCCACCAUUCGUACUAUUUGACCCUGCUACUACAAGAAACCAAGCGGAUACCGGCAGGGGGCCCGAUGGCCCCUCCGCCCCAACUGGACGAAGACAAGAAGACGAAGCCAACUACCCCUGCGGGUUCCCUGGAUGUUCCUUCACUUUCAAUUUCUCUAAAAUUUCAUAUCCUAAGAUUUCUGAUAUCGCUGAUUCCAAAAAUUAAAUAAAAUUUAAAAAUUUAUUAUUUGGAGUUUCUUCAAUAAAGCGGUUCCAAUUUUGAGAAAAUCAUGUGACGUAUAAUCCAUUGUAAAAAAAUUGCUUCCAUAAGAUAUACUCAAACUCCGUGUAUAACGGUUUCUGAUUCAUUGAUUACAAAUUAUUGAUUACGAAUCUGGAAACAGAAUUAAAAAAUUUUUUUAAUUUAUAAAUUAAUCUUAUUUCGACAAGUGCAAAAGCAAAGAAAAGCACUGUUUGCACUUGUCAAAUUGUUCUGUCUUGCAGGAAAAUCAGUAGCCGAUUUCUUUUUUAUUAUUUGUUAAAUUUAUGAAGCACUACAAUUUAUGGAGUGCCCUGAACAAGUCUGUGGACUUGAGACACAAACCCAUAAUUUUAAUUACUUCUGUAGUCUGAAAGAUUAUCCCGCAGUACAUCAAAUAAUUUGCAUUUAACAUAUUCUCUCCUUCCACAUAGCACCUUAAUCCAUCACUCGCGUAUUCUAUAAAUUCACUAAUUAAUAAUAAAAGCGUCAUUUUUGCCACCACUCAUUCAUGUUUGUAUACGUGCGCUUUUAUUCGAAGUUUAAACAAUUACUUGGGAACCUCUCAGAGUUUCUAGCUUUAUCCGCUUAAAAGGGCGUUUCAGUCAUUUAACAUGCCGAAUUGAUGAAAAGGAAAAGAAAAGGCUUGGCGGAAGAUAAAAGAGAGGAAGUAGAGAGUGCAUUUCAGAAAAUGCAAGAAAACGCAAAGAUCACCGGUAAAAAGAAGCGAGAAGAUAAAAAGAGGAAAAAGUAAACAAAAGUGGCAGAUCGAAAAAGAAAAAAAAGGAAAAAAAACAAAGGAGUUGGAAGAAUUAAAGAGUAUGGAUACAGAGGAGCUAAGAAGGGAGUGAAGGGGUUAAAAGGAAAUACGAAAAGAAUAGAAAGUAUAAUAGAAGAAAUAAGAAAGAAGCAAAAGACAGAAAAUGGCAGAAAAAAAGAACGAAAUUGGUAGAAAAGACAGAGAUUAGAGAAGAUAGAAAAAUUAGAGGGGAAGGUGAAAGGAAAGAAUGGGAAAAGAAGAGACGAGAGAAGGGAGCGAAUUAGAAAAAAAGGUAAAAUGGACAGGAAUUAAAAAGGUAAAGAGAAAAGAAAAAGGAGAAACAUUAUAGUGAAAGUAUUAAAAAUUAGAAAAAAAAGAGAAACCUGAGAGAAGUAAUAAGGGAAUAAGAAUAGAAAGUAAGAUGAAAGAUAUGAGUAAAGUUGAGGGACACUAAAUAAAAAAAUUUGGGUAGAGAACGAAGAACAAAAGGAGAUGAUAAAUGGAAAGAUGCUAAAAAGUAAAAAGAAAAUAAUAGAUAAUCUAACGUAAAGGAAAAGAAGAACAAGAUGGAAGCUAGAAGAGAUUGCAAGGAGAGAGGAGGCGAAUGAGAAAAGAACUUAAGUAAAGUAAGAGAGUCAGAAUAGACGGAGAAUAGUGGAUCUCAAAAGAAAAAAAGGUGUUAAAGGAUAAAAAGGGCGGAAUUUGGAGACAGCAAAAAGAAAGAAAGGAGAGGCAGGGGAGAGAAAGAAAUAAAAAAAUAGAAAAACGAGAUAAAAUGUAAAAAAAGCAAGAAAAAAAAAGAAAAAAAAUAAAAAGUUAUUAGAGAAUAAAAACAGGGAGUUCUAGAGAGAAUUAAAAAAAUAAGAGGUGGUAGUGCUGCUAGGGACAUGAAUAAAAGAGAACAGAUGGAGAAAGUUGAAAAAAAGGAUGUCAAAGAGAUACAAAUAGAGCAUUCAAUACGCAAGAAGAAAAAUAUAAAAAUAGGAAGGAAUAGCGAUAGAAAUAAAAUAGAAAUUAGUGGAUAAAAGAGUGGAACAAAGAAAAGAUAAUAAUGGAUAGAGUGAAAAUAAGAAAAAAAAUGGUGUAUUUUUACGUAAAUAAGGACAUGGAAGAGAAGUUACAGAGUAUUAAAAAAUAGUUGGAGGAGAAGAAAAGAAUAAUAACAAUAAUAAGUGGGGACUUUAAUACUCAGACAACAAAUAAGGGGGAUAAAGAAAAAAGAUUGAGAAAGAAGAGAGAAAGGUAGUAUAAGGAAGUCGAAGGACAGGAAGAUUAAUAAGGAGGAAGAGCGUCUAAUAGAGUUCAUAGAAAUGAGAUAUUAGAAUAUUUUGAAUAAAGAGGUAAAGAGGAACAAAAAAAAAUAUAAGGUCAGUUGGGGUAAGUGCGGCUUAGGGGUAAGUGCGCCAUCGGCUUGUGUAAUGUUACAGGGAAAAUUAUAUAGAGUGCGCCGUAGUCGUAUGUUGAGUAGAUACAAUUGUGCAAAUUUUUACCGCUGAAGCGCUCGCUAUUGUCAAUCAGUGACCUCAAGACAAUGGUAAAUAAUCAGCACUAAAGAAAAACUGUGAUAUCAAGUUGUAAAAGUUCUGUUGUCGUCAGUUAAUGUGGAAAGAAUAAAACUUGUAAAUACUUUUUAUAGUUAGCAUUAUAUCUGAAAUUAACAUUUGCGUUUCUUUGACUAUAGUUAAUUUGUCGAUUUGUUUAUUGUUGAUUCUUUAAACUCCCAUCCGGAGCAAGUGCGACUCAACCUAUGGGGCAAGUGCAACCGUAAAUUUAUCGUUUAUUUUUGUGUCCGUAAAGCUUCUUUUUAUGUUUUUGUUUUGGUUUUGAAAAUUUUUCAUUAUUUUUAAUCUCUUUACUUAUCAAAAACUGUUUCUUUUGUCCAGUAAGAAAAAAAAGCAAAAACAAAAAAGAAGGAAAAAGAGCUUGGAAAAUAAAACCAACAAGAUCAAGAAAACUUUUAAAGUGCAAAUUAAGAAACGAAAAAGAAAUUAAUGUUAAAAGCGAUAAAAAAAGCUAAGCAGUUAUUCAUUGUGUAUUACUGUAUUCUUAUUCAUAAGUAAAUUUUUUUAUUAAAUGUAAACUAUUUGUUCAUUAUUUAUUAAAAAGCAGUUAAAAAGUUAUCUAAUAAAAGUUAAAUUAUCCUGAAAGUCGAGCUUUUUUUUAAAAUUCAAUUUUUAGUAUUUUAGUAUUUUUUAAGUGUUUAUAAAUUAAGUAAAAAAAAAGAGAUCCCCCAAAAAAGCAUUGAAAAGGUAUUACUUAAUUAAAACUGCCCGCUUCUGCAUCAAAAAGACUUCGCCCUAUUAAGCAUGGUGGCAGUAAUAGUCGGGGUCGCACUUGCUCCAAAACCGGGGCAAGUGCGCCAUCAAGACAAAAUUUUUUAAAGUGCGAUUUUUUUCUCUUAAUAUUUUCUUUUUUUUUUAAUAACCUUAUGUAUCUAUAAAGUACAGUUUAAAUGUCAUGUUGCCAAAGUUUUAAUGUUGCAUAAAAAUUUGGAAGCUUGUGGGAGAAGAGUAAACAGAAACUUUGCAUUUUCGGGUAUGCACUUACCCCAACUGACCUUACAUAUACGGGGGGUAGGAGUAAUACGCUAAUAAUUAUAUAUUAAGCAAUAAAGAAAUAAGACAAAAUAAGAAUAUAAAUAGGAAAAAGUAUAACUCAAACCAUCAUCGAAUAAAGGUGGUAAUGCGUUAUGAAAAGAAAAGGGGCAAAAAGGAGAAAGAGGACGUUGGGAAUGGGGGAAAUAAGCGUUUAAAAGAGAAAUAGGGAAGAUAAAAUCAGAGGUGGCGGAGGGAAAAAAAAUGGAAAGAUAUGGAAAAGAAGAUUAAGAGAGCAAUGAAAAAGACAGAGACUGAAAAAAAGGAAAGAGGAAAAGGCAAUAGGCUAGUAGAAUGAGGAUUGUGAGAAGAUAAAAAAGAAAUAAGAAGGAAGUUAAGAGACUGAAGAAAGGGAAAAGGUAAGGAACAAAAUUAUAAGAGAAAAAAAGAGGAAAUUUAGGGAGUUGUGUAGCAGGAAAAAAAAGAGAAAAGAUGGGCAAAGGAAGUGGAAAAAAUAAGAACGGAACGACAGGUGUGGGAGAUGAUAAAUAGUGAAAAAAGGAUAUUAUGUACACGUAAACAUAUUUUAAAUAAUAAAACUUAGCUUAGCUUACAGCUUCAAUAAAUUAAUCUUAAGCAUUAGGAUGCAGUAAACAGUACAAAAAUAUUAAUUGGAUUCCGAUGGUACCGGGUGCAGAUCAAUAUCAGAAUCAGAAUCGAUCGAGCAUAGGUUAUAUCGAGACAAAACCUUCUUCCUCCACUAAAAAAUUAAUUUACAUAAGAAAAAACUGCUGGAGGAAAUUAGAUAUUUCCCCAAUAUAAAUAAGGGAAUCAAAGCGCUUAAGUUGUCUCAUAGUAGUCUAAAGUCUCUUCCGAUCACCACUGCUGAGAGUUUUACCGUAACUUUUGCGACUCUGUUAAUCUGCAGUUAGCGACAGCUAAGUCUUAAACCUUAGGGUCUGUUGUUUCGAAAAAAAAAAGGUAAUUAACUCAAGUUUUCUGUUAAAAAUUAUUUAAAAUUCCUACUUGAAUUAUGUCGCUGCCAUUUGUGUGGUAAGAAAUCUAAAUCUAAUUUCUAAAUCUAAAUUCUGUCACUGCCGAGAGUGUGAAGAUAAAUCUUUCGGGUCCUGUCUCUCCAAAAAACGUGGCAACAGAAAAUUUAAAUCUAAUUCCUAAAUUUUAAAUGCCCAAAAAGGGUGGUUAACAUGAGAAUAUUAAAAGAUUAAGAUAUCAAAUUAAUCAAGCUAUAAUCUCAAAUCGUAAUCCGUUGUUGUUAAUAGCAGAAUUAGAUAAACUUCUGGCCCAAACUUCUAAUGAAAAACCCUUUAAACUUAACAAAUAUAAGCUUAUUAAAAUUGAUCUUCCAAAUUCUUCAAAUCGACUUAAAUCCAAAAAUCGUUAUACAUAAGCCAACUCAAGUUGGUAAACCAACUGCAGAAAAGUUAAAACACAAACUUAACAAAAUUUACUUUAAAGUUAACUUUUCACAUUUCAAGUUAAUAAAGAAAUCAGACCCUCGUUAUCAAAUUUAUAAAAUUCGUUAUCUUUACGGUGAAAAUUAAUUAACCUCAUAAACUUAUCCAUCCCAGGUAAAUUACUUAAAUGUAUUGACCCAACAAUGGACAAUUAUAUCAGUUCGUGGCAAGAAAAAAAUGAGAAUUAAUAAAGAAAUAAAUAUAAAACAAUAGAAGAAAUACUUUAUGAGGCUGCUAGAAGGGGUGAAAAUAAGAGUGGUAAAAGGACAGAGAAAAGGAAGAGAAAAAAACAGAGGAAGAAUUGACAAGAAAAAAGAUAAGUAAGGUAAAAAGGAAAUUGAAAGUAGAAAAAGUUGAGGACGGAUAAGUUGAGAAAUAAGGUAUAGAAAUAUGGGAAAAAGAUAACGGAAAGGGCAUACAGGAUCUGCAACAAAAUUUUAAAGAAGGAAGAUUAGCCAGAAAGAUGGAAAAAGGAUGUUAGGGAUCGAUAAUUAAAAAAGGUGACAAGAAAUUUGUAGAGAAUUAUAAAGAAAUUACGUUAAUGACAUCGUUGUAUAGAAUAUAUCUAACGGUGCUGCCAAAAAAAAAGAAAAAAUAGAAGAAAAGGAGGUAAUUCCACACAAUCAAACGAGUUUUAGAAAGGAGAUGGAGACAAUAGACAAUAUGUAUACAUAUAUUAAAUUACCUGAUGGGGGAUUGGAAGAUGGCGUGGUUGAGAGUGGAGGUGAAACAGGGAGCUCCGGAGUGAAUAGUGUGGUGAGGGUGUAAUGUGAAAGAGAGGAGAGAAAGAAGUGGAAGAUUGGAAAGAGAAGACCGGGACAUAGACGGGCAAUUGGAGGGAAGUAAAUGGAGGAUGGAGGAGGUGACAGAGGAGAAAUGGAAAGAGACGUGGAAGGGGAAGAGAGUGGUGAGAAAGAAACAGGAGAAGCAGGAGGGAAAGAGAGAAUGAGAAAGCAUAAAGAAAUGAGGAAGGUGAAGCAGGGAGAGCAGAGGAGGCAGGUGAGGAGAAGGAGGAGAAGAGGUUCCAGAAAGAGAAAAGGAGGGAGAGGACGGAAGAGAGUUGAAGAGAACAAGUGGAGAGGAAAGGGGAAGAGAGAAGGAUUGAGUGGAGGAAGAGGAGAAGGGGGGUGAGGGAUGGGCGAGAGGGGUGGGGGGGUAACAGAAUGUAAAGGUCGCUUAUGGCCAGGUCGGUUUUGGGGGCAGAGGGUUAAGUAUUUGUAAACGGUUCGGGAACGCUCCGUGCAAAAAGCGCCUUGUAACCCCAUUUGGGAAACAAUAAACUCUAUUCUAUCUAUUAAAUUACCUGAUAAAUAGACAAUUAAGAAAAGAAAAGGGCAAAAUAAUUGUUGGGCAUUAUGUGUAAAUUUAAAAACGACAUUUGAUAAGGAAACACUAUGUGAAGCUAUGAAUAAAAAAGUAUAAAUAAAAUCGCAGAGCAAGUAAAAAGUUUUGAACAGCGAUGGGAGUUAGACAGCAGUGUCCUCUUAGUCCGUUACUGUUUAGUAUUUUAAUUGCUGAUCUGAAUAAAAAAUUAAGUAAAGUAAAAUGAGGAAGAAUAGGAACAGACGAUGAGAGAAUAUAUCAUCUCGCAUAUGCGGAUGACAUAGUACUGAUAGCAGAGGAGGGGGAAAUAAGAAAUAUGUUCGAAAAACUGAAAUUAUUUGGAAAAGAAGAGAUUCGUGUUAAACACAAAAAAGACAAAAAUUAUGAGGUCUAGAAAAGGAGGAGGUAAACAAAGAUUGGAGAUGGAAAGGAGAAAAGAAUAAGGUUAAAAGAAUUACAUAUCUAGGGUACGUAAUAAAAAUGAAAAUCAAAAGGCUCGUGUGGGGAAGAGAGUAAGGAAGCAGCGGAAAUUAUGAAGCAGACGUGGGGGAUGGAAAGAUGGAGGAAAACUGGGAAAGAAUAUGACUGUGUGCGACAAGUUAUUUUGGUCAAUAGUAGAUUUUGGAAUAUAGAUAUAAAGCAGGAAAAAAAGAAAAAAGGUAAAAAGAUUAGAAAAUAUAUAAAAUGGGUGCUAACAGUAGAGGGAAAGACGCCAGGAUAUUUGGUGGGGAAGAAACUAAAAGAAAUAAAGUUGCAGAGAAAAACAGGAAAAAAGUGUGGAGUUUUAAGAAAAAAUUGAAAAAAGAGAAGAAAAGCAGGCAAAAAUGUUUUAAAAAAAUAAAGAAGAAAACAGCUAAAGAAAGAGUGACUAAUGAAUGAAAGAAAAAAGAAAGGAGUUCUUUAGGAUUAAAGAUUAAAAAAUAGAAGAUGUGGAAAGGAGAAAAGGAUGGGAAAACAACUACUUAAAGUAAUGGAAGAAUAAGAAAAAGAGACAAAAAAAGAGAUGGAAAAAGAUAAGAGAAUCGAAAUAUGGUGUUAUACAGAGAUGAAGAGAAUCCCAGAAUAUUUAAGGAAAGGGUAGAGGGAGAGAAUACAUGGAAAAGAGUGGUAAGGUUUAGGUUUAGGUAGAGAAAAAAAAUAGUGAGAACAAGAAAAAAAGAAAUAAUAAAAUAGAAAAAAGAAAAUACUGAGGACAAGAAAAAAGGAAGUUGUGUAGGUUAUAUGGAAAAGACAAGGAGACAUGGAAACAUACAUUAAAAAAGAGUAGAGAUUAAGAAAGAGGGAGAGCGGAGAGUUGAUAAGAGAUAAUAAAAAGAAUGUUGAGUAAAAAUGAAAAGGAAGAAUGGUAGAUAAGGACUGAGAAAAAAGAGAGAAGAAAGAAGAGAUAGAAAGGGAGAAUAUGGAAGGGAAAAAAGAGAGAGUACGGGAGAGAAAAAAAAAAGAAAAAAAGUAGAAAGACAGAGGAAACCUCACACGAUCCCGAUUAAUCACGAUGCGGAUUGUCCACGCCAAUAAUGACCACGCGUCAAUAUUACCCACGUCAAUAUUUUGUCGACGCGUUAAUAUUGCCCACGUCAAUAUUGGUCACGUCGAUAUCACAGGCACAUAAAAGUGUUUGGACCGGCGAACCAGACUAGUCAAUCUUCAUGUAUUUUGACCCGCUGAAUCCAAAUCCAAAGUCAGAAUUGCAAAGUUAGCUCACAUUUCCUAACUUCAAAAAAAAUUUUUUUUUUAAUGUUGGGCCGGCGGACCAGACUAAUUUAUCCUUAUGUAUUUUAACCCGCUGAAUCCAAAUCCAAAGUCAGAAUUGCUUAAUUGGCUCAUUUCUUCUUAACUUCAAAAAAACAUUUUUUUAAUGUUGAUCCGACAGAUUAGUCUAUCCUUACGUAUUUGGACCCGCUGAAUUGAAUUCAAGAUCAGAAUUACUGAAUUGGCUUAUUUUUUCUCAAAAAAAAAAAAAAAAAAAAAA
rnacentral:lncRNA from 1 species